GUGCUUGUUUUGGCAGCACAUAUAUUAAAACUAGAACAAUACAGAGACAAUUAGCAUGGCCCUUGUGUGUGCAAAGAUGACACGCAAAUCUGUGAAGUAUUCCAUAUUUAA
ensembl:snRNA U6 U6 spliceosomal RNA